UACAGAGGUGGCAAGCGUUGUUCGGAAUUACUGGGCGUAAAGGGCGCGUAGGCGGUCUUUUAAGUCUUGUGUGAAAUCCCUCGGCUCAACUGAGGAACUGCAUGGGAUACUGGAAGACUUGAGUUCGGGAGAGGGAAGCGGAAUUCCGGGUGUAGCGGUGAAAUGCGUAGAUAUCCGGAGGAACACCGGUGGCGAAGGCGGCUUCCUGGACCGAUCACUGACGCUGAGGCGCGAAAGCUAGGGGAGCAAACGGG
rnacentral:rRNA from 1 species